GCCUAGUUAGCUUAGUUGGUAGUGCGUCUGCCUUGUAAGCGCUAGGUCGCGGGUUCGAUUCCUGCCCGGGGCG
rnacentral:tRNA from 1 species